rnacentral:lncRNA from 1 species
UAUUUCCCACAAACUAUGAGACUGAGGAUACUUUAAUUCUCAAAUUUUAAUUUAUUAUAAUUUUUAAUUUAAAUUUUUUAAAAUUAUUAUAUUUAAAUUCUAUAAUUUAAUUUUGUUGAUUAGAUAUUAAUAUAUCAUUAAUAUAGAGAUGAUAUAAUAGUAGUGUGAUUAAUAAUGUGCCAUAAUUAAGAUGUCAUAUUGUUUUUUCUAUUAAUGAUAUGUUAAAAUUUAGUCAACUAAGUUGGAUUGUUAGACUUGAUGUUAAGAAUAUGCCUUUUUUUGAACUUGAGUUGA